rnacentral:snRNA from 1 species
GGGUGUGAGGGCGAUCCGGCUUGCGACAUCUGUCACCCCAUUGAUCGCCAGGGUUGAUCCGGCCGGCGAGGCGGGUGUGGCCGUCCUCCCCUCCGCUCCAUGCGCGGUCCUCCCCUCCGCUCCAUGCGCGACCCUCCCGAAGCUGCCUGCGCGCUCCGUCGAAGAGGACGACCUUCCCCGAAUAGAGGAGGACCGGUCUUCGUUCGUUCGGUCAAGGGUAUGCGAGUAGCUGCGCUCCCCUGCUGGAACCUCCAAACAAGCUCUCAGGAAACCAGAACCAGAGUGGAGAGAUGGCUCAGCGGUUAAGCACAUUUGCAGCUCUUGU